rnacentral:rRNA from 1 species
UACGUAGGGUGCGAGCGUUAAUCGGAAUUACUGGGCGUAAAGCGUGCGCAGGCGGCUAUUUAAGCUUGCUGUGAAAGCCCCGGGCUUAACCUGGGAACUGCAGUGAGGACUGGAUGGCUGGAGUGUGGCAGAGGGGGGUGGAAUUCCACGGUGUAGCAGUGAAAUGCGUAGAGAUGUGGAGGAACACCGAUGGCGGAAGGCAGCCCC